CAAUAGCGUAUAUUUAAGUUGUUGCAGUUAAAAAGCUCGUAGUUGGAUUUCGGAUGGGAUCUGCCGGUACGUCUUUGAGAUGUGUACUGGUAGGUCCUAUCUUGUUGUCGGGGACCAGCUCCUGGGCUUCACUGUCCGGGACUGGGAGCCGACGAAGUUACUUUGAGUAAAUUAGAGUGUUCAAAGCAAGCCUACGCUCUGAAUAUAUUAGCAUGGAAUAACACGAUAGGACUCUGGCUUAUCUUGUUGGUCUGUGAGACCAGAGUAAUGAUUAAGAGGGACAGUCGGGGACAUUCGUAUUUCAUUGUCAGAGGUGAAAUUCUUGGAUUUAUGAAAGACGAACUUCUGCGAAAGCAUUUGUCAAGGAUGUUUUCAUUAA
rnacentral:rRNA from 1 species